rnacentral:tRNA from 1 species
UCUCUGGUGGCUCAGUGGUAAAGAACUUGCCUGCAAUGCAGAAGACCCAGGUUCGAUCCUGGGUUGGGAA